UGGACAAGGAUACACAAUGGAGAUCUACACAUCAGUUGCAUAUGUAGUUACAGUCUUGUGCAGUGUUGCAACAUCCUCUGCAAAGGAAAGUGUCCAUCGUGCCAGAGAGAGCCAGUGAGUGACCUUACACAGAGCCUUAACUCUGAGCCUCUAAACACAGUUGCAUAAGAUAUUUUUUUCAUUCAUUAUUACAUAUGUUUUUCAUAGAUUACUAAAUGUAAAUUAACAGUAAUGUGUUUUUUUCAGAUUUGACACAUUUUUGCAUGCUUAAGAAAUUUUGAUGAGAUUGGUUGAUCUUCAGACAGUUAGCUCAAGGUUGACGUUUUAUAAUGAGUUUUCUCUUACACUCAUUUACAGACAUGUACUUGACAACGACUCAUGUGUGUUGUGGUAAAAACAACAUAUUUCAAUGGAAGGAAAAUCAUUCUUGUUGUGGCGAGAAAACAUAUGACGAGACAAUCCACUGCUGCUGUAGUAACCCUACACCAGUAGUAAAGCAUAAAAAUGAAACUUGCUGUCUAAAAGCAAAAGAUCAUGAUAAAAAAACAGAACACCAGCCAGGCUCUCCUCCAACUCGCCCUCUGCCCAUAUUAUCAGACUUGAUUUGUGGAUCAGAAACCUACAAUCCCCAUAAACAAAUGUGUUGCUCAGGGAAUCUGUAUAAGGCAUCAGCACUUACUAAGGUAUUGGAUAUUUCUCUGAACACUAUUAUUUUCAGUAAAAUGUGCUUGUUAAAGUGGUGGUUGAUUGUGUAAUGUUGCUGUUUGAGCAUAAACAAUAUCUGCAAAGUUACGACGCUGAAAGUUUAAUGCAAGCGGAGAUAUUGUCUUUUAAAAUUAUGUCAGUUUAAUGCCUACAAAAACGUCUCGUAGGGACUCCAACAAGCUACUUCCAGGGUUUGUGAUGUCACCAACCCAGAAAUUUACAAAAACCCCACCCCUGGGAACAUGCAACAAAGUGGGUGAGGCCAUGUGCUGCUUUAGAGAAGAGGAAGAGUUGUUGCCAUGCAAUCUAAACUAGGGGUGCUCUUAAAAAAAAUCUAUUCAUAUAUGAAUCGCGAUUCUGUCUUCUAACGAUUGUAAUGGAUUCACAAGUUUCAAAAUCAAUGUUCUAAAGCAUCGGUGCUUAAUCCUGUUUCUCGCGUCCCCUGCUCUGCAUCUCUCUCUCUCUCUCAUCGCUUUCUCUCUCUCUCUCUCUCUCUCUCUCAUCGGUGCUUAAUCCUCGUUUCUCGCGUCCCCCUCGCUCUGCAUCUCUCUCUCUCUCUCUCUCUCUCUCUCUCUCUCAUUCAGAUCAUUAGCUCAUCAGCUCCUUCAAAGAACUG
rnacentral:lncRNA from 1 species